AGCCCGGGCCGCGGCGCGCCCCGGCCCGGCCCGGCCCAGCCCAGCCCAGUCCCGGCACCGGGCGGCCCGGCGGCCGGCCCGCCCCCGAGGGCGCCGGGCGCGGCGGGAGGAUGCCGAAGCCGACGCUGCUGCUGCGCGGGGGCUGGGAGCGCGAGCGCAGCCCCGGGGACUCGGAGCUGGGCCGCCAGUUCCGGGACUGGUGCCUGCGCACCUACGGCGACUCGGCCAAAACCAAGACGGUGACACGCAGCAAAUACCAGCGGAUCGCCGAGGUCCUGCAGGGCGGCGGCGGGACCGGCGCGGGCAGCGGCCCGGCGGCCGGCGAGAAAGGCAAGUUCCAGUUCUGGGUGCGCUCCAAGGGCUUCCGCCUGGGCAGCGGCCGGGAACCCAAGAUGGGCCAAGUGGUGUAUGUGCCGGUCAAGACGGGCUCGGGGGCAGAUGGCCUGUCGGAGCCGGAGGGCAUCUCUCUGAAGCGGGUCGCUGUGGUGGAAGAUUUCUUUGACAUCAUCUACUCGAUGCAUGUGGAGAGCUCAGCGGAGCCAGGCAAAGCCCCCAAGCACGCUGGGCAGAAGAAAACCUACCGAGCGAUUGCAGAGACCUAUGCCUUCCUUCCGCGAGAAGCCGUGACUCGAUUCCUGAUGAGCUGCACAGAGUGUCAGAAGAGGAUGCACUUUAAUUCCAAUGGCCUGGAGCCCAAAGAAAACGAACCUCCCUCUCCUCUGGUCUCCGGGAUUAUCGAUUACAACAUGCCCCUUACCUCCACGUACCUGAAGCAGAUGAAGUUGCGAGUGAUGAACUCCCAGGAACAGGAUGAAACUUCUGUGAGCAGUGAAGAUUUUGAUAUGAACGACUCCACAUGGAUGUCAGCUGACCCACACCUGGCCUCCAGCCUGAGUCCCAGCCAGGACGAGAGGAUGCGGAGCCCUCAGAACCUCCACAGCCAAGAGGACGAUGACUCCUCCUCUGAGAGUGGCAGCGGCAAUGGCUCCUCCACCCUGAACCCAUCCACGUCCAGCAGCACGCAGGGCGACCCCGCCUUCCCCGAGAUGAAUGGCAACGGCGCCGUGGCCCCCAUGGACUUCACCGCCACCUCCGAAGAUCAGCCCAUCAACCUGUGUGACAAGCUCCCGCCGGGCGCAGCACUCGGCACACCAUCCUACCCCUCGGACGGCUGUGGCACCGAUGGACUGCGGAGCCGCGUCAAGUACGGGGUGAAGACCACCCCUGAGUCGCCCCCUUACAGCUCCGGGAGCUACGAUUCCAUCAAGACUGAGGUCAGUGGCUGCCCUGAGGACCUGACGGUGGGCCGGGCCCCCACGGCGGACGACGACGACGACGACCACGAUGACCACGAGGACAACGAUAAGAUGAACGACUCUGAGGGCAUGGACCCUGAGCGCCUCAAGGCCUUCAAUAUGUUUGUGCGUCUCUUUGUGGACGAGAACCUGGACCGCAUGGUGCCCAUCUCCAAGCAGCCCAAGGAGAAGAUCCAGGCCAUCAUCGAGUCCUGCAGCCGGCAGUUUCCCGAGUUCCAGGAGCGGGCCCGCAAGCGUAUCCGCACAUACCUCAAGUCCUGCCGGCGCAUGAAGAAGAACGGCAUGGAGAUGACGAGACCCACACCUCCCCACCUGACCUCGGCCAUGGCAGAAAACAUCCUGGCGGCAGCCUGCGAGAGCGAGACGAGAAAAGCAGCCAAAAGGAUGCGCCUGGAGAUCUACCAGUCCUCCCAGGAUGAGCCCAUUGCCCUGGACAAGCAGCACUCCCGGGACUCUGCAGCCAUCACCCACUCCACCUACUCACUGCCAGCCUCCUCCUACUCCCAGGACCCCGUGUAUGUCAACGGCGGCCUCAACUACAGUUACCGCGGUUACGGGGCCUUGGGCAGCAACCUGCAGCCCCCUGCCUCCCUCCAAACAGGAAAUCACAGUAACGGGCCCACCGACCUCAGCAUGAAAGGCGGGGCCGCCACCGCCUCCAGCACGCCCACACCCACGCCCUCCAGCAACAGCACCAGCAGGACCAUGCCCACCGCCCAGCUCAGCCCCACGGAGAUCAGCGCUGUGCGGCAGCUCAUCGCCGGCUACCGAGAGUCCGCGGCCUUCCUGCUGCGCUCCGCGGACGAACUGGAAAACCUCAUUUUACAGCAGAACUGACCCGCAGCACCUGAAGCGCACUACCCUAGGGAAGGAGGCCGGCCCGGCCCGGCCUCCUGCCUCACCACUUGGUACAUUUUGGUUUUUGAAAGAGGUGGGAUCCAAAAGAGCGGUUUCUAGCCACACGCCAAGCACCUGCGACUUUGGGCACAAGGACACUUUUUUUUGGAAUCUCACCACACGGGUGCUCUGACCUGCUUGGAAGAGGCCAUGGGGCAGCUUUGGAAGGGCUGGGGCUCCCCUGACGAGGCGCUGGGGACGCAGCUCUAUUUAGAAUCAUCUUCGUGGACCCUGAUGUUAGAAUCCCACCCCCAGAUAAUUACCUUUCAAGUCUUAGAUUGCCAGUCUGUGUCUGUCUGAUCAGAAGGAUGUAUCCCUGUGACCUAACAUUCCAUAUCACUACACUGGCGCGGGCUGGGGGACGGCAGGGCGGGGUGAGGUGGGGCAGGUGCCGGGCUGGCUGUCCCCUUGAGCACCCGGCACAGCCAAGCCGCACAGCCAAGCCGGAGGACCUCGCCCACACCCAAUGCGAAGCAAAGGCAAAAAUGGAUCCCCCACCCCCACCCCACAGAAGCCCCCGUCACACGGUCACCUGUGUUCUACCUCACACUCCAGCGUGGGCUUUUUCCAGGAUGUGCCCUGAGCCUGUUCUGAAUGGCUAUCUAUCGCCCAACCCCCCCACACCAUGUGUCUGCCUGGGAGGUAAGUCCAGAGGGGUGGCCAGGAGCUAGAGCCCAGAGAGGGCUUGGACCCUCAUGAGCAGCAGCUCGCGGGCACCUGCCCCCAGGGAGCCAGGUCUGAACACUUCUCCACACAGGCCCAGAGCCCUCAGACACCUGCCAGGAAGGGCCUGUUUCUUCAGGGUGAGCCCUCAGCUGUCAGGUAGCCACCAAACAGGAAAAAGCAGCUGCGAGCCCCUGGUUGGACUUGGCAGCUCCCAUCCUCCGUCCCCGUGGUUGGAGUAAAGGAACCAUCAGAAGUGGAGAAGCCACUUGGGUUCACCUAGGACGCACCCUUCUCGUCAAGGGGCCAGUCCUAGAAGAAACCUGUAAUCCCUGGAGUGUGAAAAAGGACAAAAAGAAAAGGCUGGCCCGGUUCCCUUCCUCCCCGAUAGGCACUUCUUCUUGCUCAGUGCAAUACCUACCAGUGCUGCUAAAACCAGGGAUUCACCCAGACCUCAGAAGGCCCAAGGGGCCUCUCCAUGCAACACUCCGUAGCCAUGACAGCAGCUCUCCGCUGCUUGCCCCUGCCCAGAGCCGGCAGAAGCCCUCUGUUGCCUUUCCUCCCUCAGAGCAGAGAGGCCCCAGGGGAGCCAGGGCUGCGUGGACCCUAGGACGGCCACAGAGAGCCACUCGACCCCAGAGCAGGCGCCCCUUCCCAAACCAGCUUUCUGCAGCCAACCGCCUCCCGGCACCAGCGGCAGACCACCCUCAGGAGCGCCAGGGAGGGGCUCCAGCGUGGAGGCCCCAACCCGCCUCGGAUCCAGGCCCGAGCUGCGGGCCCUGGAUCCAGAACCCUGAAAGGUAGGGUGCCCUGCGCCCCGCCCCUUGCUUACUUCCAGCCCCCAGCAGUUCAGGGUGGUCUUUUCUCUCUCAAGUGGCCUCCAACGCCCUACCCAGCCACAGCACCUCUGCCUUCCAUCGGACCCAUCCCCCGGCCUCCAGUCAGGGCCAGGACACCCGAGACUCCACUUAGCACAGCACAAGCUCCAGUGCCCGAGGCCUGUCCCCCAACCCGGCCACCCACAUGUCCAGCCCCACCUGCUCAGUGCGACUCCCGGUUCAAUUUGUGUAAAUAUUUAUUUUUGUGAGUGAACAAUACUACAAAGUAAUCAGCAGGUCUUUUGCAAAACGUUCCCCCAGGCAAUUUGCGAAAAUCCUAAAAUUGAAAACUGGCAGAGACAAUCGCCGCCUUAGAAUUCUUGAUACCAACUGCGUGUCAUUUCCCCUCCCGGAGGCAGGACCCAAGCCAGGCACCGCGCGCUUCUCUCACAGACAGGAGAGAGGCAGGCUGGGAGGGGCUGCGGCCGCCACCCACACGCAAGGGAUUAGAGCUAAAGAUCAGCAUAAGCUCCAGUUGGAAGUCGGCUCUCCUCAGCCGGCCACCUCGGCCUGCCUUAGCACUGGGCAAGAGCGCAGGCACGCUCGUGUGAGAGGAAGGCCCCGGGUGCUCGUGGUGAAGGCCCGCCGGGGCUCCCCGCGGCCCCUCCGGGACAGUGGAUUCUGUCGCGGUGACCCCACCGCUUGGGUGGGCCCCUCCGUGAAGCUAUGCCUGAAGCCCUGGUCAUGGCAAAAUCAGGAGCAAGUCACUGUGUGGAAACAGGACUCCAUUAGCUAGUUCAGUCAGGGACCUUGUUCUGUUUUGCGUUUGUUUUUCAAAGAUGCAGCUUCAACCCCUCCCCACUCCCGACUUGGAGGGCACCAAAGAGCUGGUUCGGCUGGACCUAGCUCACUGCCGUCCCACCCGCACCCGCACCCUCACCCUCACCCCAGGGACUGCCUUCUCCUAAAGGGAGCUUCCAAGGCCCUGCCCCGCAGCCAUUUGAAAUUCUGACGGAGGGCCUCGGGGGCGCAGAUUCAUCAUGGGGGAAUCCUAAGCCAGAAGGUAACUCAAGAGUUAGAAUACACCAAUUCCUGAGUCUUUGCAGGGGGCUAAUCCCAGCAGAAGAGUAGAAUCAGGAGAAAUGGGAAUUUGGUCUUAGUGGUGGAUAACUAGACGACCAGUAAUGGUGUGACCCAUCUGAAAUUCAUUUUACCAUCAACUCCAGGACAGUUUAUACCCAAGGGCAGUGUUGAGGGGGAGGGGGACCGAAGGGGGCGAGCAGGGUUUUCAAGGAUUUCAAACAGGUGGAACCCGGCCAUCCCUAUUCCCAAGGGCCACUUACGACUCCAGGGGUGGUUACAGGAUUAACUACCAGUUCAUUUUCAAAAUGCUGCUUUGAACUCAGAGGGUUGAUACUUUUAAUUUGUAAUUUUUUGUAAAACUUUUUACAAGAUAGUAAAGUAUUUCACCAGAAUACCAGUUUCAAUCCGUCCAUGGUCUGAUUUUUAUAUAAUUUAGUGGUGCUUUAGAAACUUUGUUUUUGUUGUUUCUGAGCUAAACAGCUCAAUCCUUUUUCGCCUGUAUCUACCUAAGACCAAUGUGAACCUUUGUAUUUUUGCUCCUAAUUUUGGACUCAGUGAAAGUGUACUGUUUACAUGUACAGAUGCCCCCGUCCCUGUGUGUUCCGCAAGACUCGCUCUUGAGGAGGAAGGGGCACCUCACUAAGCUCAUCUGCUUAGCAAAGCCACAAAACAAAAACCUCUCACUUUUUACCUGUGUUUCCACCUAAAAACAAAAGCAAAAACCCUACGCCACAUAGAACUCAGAUUUGCUGAAAAAUACUUUUCUAAGCUCAGAAAAAUCUCCGUGCGUCAGAUGGCCCACAGGCCUCUGUCACGUGGUCCAUUGAGGAGCAGGGGUCAGAGCAGACACUUCCCAGGGGCUGCCGGCGGGGCACCUGCGUGGCCUCUCGGGGAGAGCGCGAGCAGGACUUGACUGCAGGGCUGUGGGCUGGUGUAGUUCUUCCAGCAGCCCGGGAAGCGGGGAGGUCAAGAUGACCCUUGUGACCUUCAGGGUCAAGCCGCCCAGGAUUCAGGGACGACCCAAGAGGCUGUCAAUCCUCUGGCAUAAUUUAGACAUGUUUCAGAAGAGCGCAAGUUCCCCAUCCGAGAUGAGGUUUUAGGACUUGCCAGUGCAGAUGGUACAAACAUUUCUUCAGGGUUCCCCUAGAGGCAGCUUGUUCGCGAGGCAUCACCCUCUGAGGAGGGGCAGGGGGCUCCAGACGGUAAGCAUAUGGCACUUGAGACAAACAGCGGGCGGCACCAACUUUUAAAGGUGACUCUUUAUUACUUAAUCAAUGGCUACACCUCUAAAUUAUAUUUUUACAGAUAUGCACCUAUGCAACUUAACGUGGCUCUUCUAAGCAGGUGAGGACUUCCUCCUCAACGCUCUAUAAAAAUUAUUUGUGUUCUAUAUAGUGAGUUUUUUCCAGUAAAUGUGGCUUAAUAUUUUAAUUCUUAGACUGUGUCUUCUUUAUGUGAUGCAACUAAAUUCUGUUUUGUUUGUGGAAUGACUAGCACAGGCCAAGUCCCUCUCCCUCACUUAACAAAAGACCAAUGAGCUGUUAAUCGAGCUGUUAUCUCCAUGGUAUUACUUGCUAAAUGCACUGAUUUCAUAAGUAUGUGGAAUCCCUUUUCUUUUGAAUCUGUAUAUCAUAUAUAAGACUGAAUCUACUUAAUAAACACUGAAUAACAAAUCA